UCAAGAAUAUUUGCUUAUAUGAGUCUGCCGCUAAGCUAACAACAUUGAAAUCAAACUCUUAUGUGUCAUAUUGUCACCUGUCUGGCGCCAAGAGGCUUGCCAGCCCCGAACCGAACGUUGAACAUAGCCGGUCAGCAAACACGCUUCAUUCCAAUCUCGAUUCUCGAAGCGAACGGUAGUGUUUAAACAGUGAGUGACUCAUAUAAAAGAUAAAUAAAAAUGAAGUUUCUAUUGCUAAUUUUCUGCGCAGCGAUGCUGUUCGCGUUUAUCAGUACACUUAAAGAUAAUAAUAGGCAUAUUAAAUCUGCACAGCGUACUAAAUGUGCUUCAUUGUCCGGAAAAUGUGUCGUGAAAAUCGCAGAAAACAACUUCAGGAGUAAAAGGGUGCAACGAAGUGUCAUGAAUAGUGGUUCCAGUCCAUGCCCAGACGGGUACAUUUGGCACUACUAUAAAUGCUGGCGAUGUGACAAGUACGAGGAAAUAACUGGGAAUCCAUGCUAAUAGUAAAUCCCCGAAAAUUACUUAAAUUAUUUUUUUCCAAUUUAUAAAAUGAAACACAUCACUGGAAAAAUCUACUCAACUAUUCAUAUAAAUGUGCCUAUUUGAUACUGUUGCCUUGUCAGAAUGCCUUCGUCAUCCAAACAUUGGUAAAGCCGAAUUGCGCCAUACUUGAACGGAUCAAGUAUCUACUGCGUGUUGCUACCUCAUCAGAACUGGCCUUAAAGCUGCAGCUGUUGCCAUGACAACCCGUGUUACGUUAAAAACAACGUUCGUAAAACCAAACUAAGGAAAUUAUCUGAGGCGAACUUCCGAUGGUGUGCGGUACCUUCACUGUUUCUUCUGGUCUACUGUCUCUAGUGAACAAUAAUGGAGUGCGCAUAUUUCUAAACUAUCUGUAAAAAUUGCAACGUGUGUGUGGACAUAAUAUGCUAGAAGUGAUCUCGCCGACACUUACAAAUGUGUGGGAACAGUUGUGAUGUACCUAGUCUUGCCAUAGGAUUAGUGAGUAGUUAGAAGUUCCUGAUGAAGUUAAAUAAAAAAAAAGAUAGACAAGUAUGUGUUUCAGGUUUUCGCCUGUUGUGUUAUUAAUCUAUUCUGAAUUAGUGGUUGUGUAUGUUUUUAAUGUAUUACCUAAAUUUUCUUGUAGUUAAGUACCCGUUACAUUCCCAGAUUUAGAGAAUGCAAUACCGAAAAAAAUCGCCACAUCUUCAUCUUAAAGGGAGAAAUGGGAACAAAAAACAUUCAUUACGGGUUGGUAUUUUGUUUGACGAUUGCUGAUAUAAUAUUUUUCGCAUCACAGGAGCAAAAACACAUUGGUUUCAUUCAAAGAUGAUCUUUUUACGACUGUGUGAUACUUCUAAUUAUAUUCACUAGAUCUGCGAUUGUAAUGGCAAUUAUGGUCUAGGCAUUUUGAUCUGAAAUGAAAAUUACUUCAAGAUUCCACCUUAAAUACAAGACCACCGUUUUCAUUCCAGACUAUAUGUAUUUUAAAUAAUUAAUUUAAAGUAUUUUUUAAAACUGAUAUCAGAUAAUGGCCUAUUUCUGACUGUGUUAUAGUUCUAUGAUAACAACAUGCUGUUUGUCAUCGGUACUUAAGUGAAGUGCGUAGGUAAAUUAGUCUGCAAUGUCAUUUCUAAAAACAGUAUUAUUGUAGUAUCUUUUGUGCGCACGUUCGUCAGCACGUAUUGUUUGAGGCAUUUAAUUUGGAAAUUGUGUAAAACAGAGUCCUAUUAAAUUGACGGGCCCCGGCUGUCAUUAUGAACAUCCUUGACAGUCGUUAAGGGUAGUCAAAAAUACGAAAAUUUUACAACCUAUCUUUCCAAGGGUAAUGGGUUGCCCGGGUAACUGGGUUGAGGGGGUGAGAUAGGCAGUCGUUCCGUGUAAAAUACUGGUACUCAGCUGUAUCUGGUUAGACUGGAAGCGAGCCCUAGUAUAGUUCUAUUGCCAACUCGAAUUAAAAAGUAUUAGAACUGCUUUCGUUUUUGCAAACUGAUAGAUUAUUUGGUACCCAAAUUCGAGUAACUCGACUGACGAGCGUGUGUUAUUACAAAACCUGAAAUCAGCAUUCCACUACUUUAUGUAUUAUUGUAACAUCGGCCUGUAUCUCAUCUUCACUUAUACUUAGCACACAAGAAUCUGGGAGAGAUUCGAAUUAUGUUAAUAAAAAAGUAUUGAAUAAAAGUAUUUGCCACUAUUUUUAAAUUAACCUUGAUUCUUGUGUUUCCGCCGUCUUUAUAUGUUUUCAAUGUUAAUCUCAUUUCUCAUUUAAGUAAUAAGUUGCAUACAAUUUUCUCUCUAUUUGAGGCGCUUGUGGCUAUGUUAAUGCCUCACGGGUAGGCAGUUUGUUCCAUGGAAAAUUGUAGAUUGUAGAUGGUUCAAUUGUAGAUCUCGGCUGUCAGAAGCCAAGAAGACUGCUCACAACCAGUAUUGUACCAAGGGGUAUUGAUUUGCUCAAACAACUGGGUUUACGAGGUCAGAGACGCACUUGAUCAAUGUAAAACACUGGUGCUCAGCUGCAUCUGGUUAAACUAGAAGCCGAACCCAACAUAGUUGGGAAAGGCUAGGCAAAUGAUGAUAUUUAUAGCUAUUCUGUAUUUUUUGAUAGUGCUAAUUUAAAUGUUAAAUUAAAGAUUAUAAUUAUUGCAGGCAAAAACUAAUUUAUUGUUUAGGUAUCCUUAUUAAAAAAGAGUAAAGAUGUUGUGACCUAUGUUAAGAAUCUUCUAUUUUCCUUUUUGACACCGAACCUAUGUAUCUGAUUACUAAUGUAAAUUAUUUUUUGUGAAUGUAUUAAAUUAUUUCCAUUGCAUUGCCAAAAUUUGACCAAAUUAUUUAUUCAUCUAUUCUGGGUUCACAAAACUUUUUGAAUUAUUAAAUAAAUGCCUGUUGGACUUUC
rnacentral:lncRNA from 1 species